GACGAACGCUGGCGGCGUGCUUAACACAUGCAAGUCGAACGGAGCGAAUGAAAGCUUGCUUUUAUAAGCUUAGUGGCAAACGGGUGAGUAACACGUAGGCAACCUGCCGACAGGAUGGGGACAACAUUCCGAAAGGAAUGCUAAUACCGAAUGAAGCGCAGGAGAGGCAUCUCUCCUGCGUGAAAGAUGGCCUCUAUAUAUAAGCUAUCACCUGUCGAUGGGCCUGCGUCUGAUUAGCUGGUAGGUGAGGUAACGGCUCACCUAGGCGACGAUCAGUAGCCGGCCUGAGAGGAUGAACGGCCACAUUGGGACUGAGACACGGCCCAGACUCCUACGGGAGGCAGCAGUGGGGAAUCUUCCGCAAUGGGCGCAAGCCUGACGGAGCAACGCCGCGUGAGUGAAGAAGGUCUUCGGAUCGUAAAGCUCUGUUGAUGGGGACGAACGUGCCUAAUGCGAAUAGUAUUAGGUAAUGACG
rnacentral:rRNA from 1 species